CUUCCCCCUUGCCCCUUUCUUGUUGACAGAAGGGAAGAGGUGCACUGGUUCUCUUGCUCUGUCUUGCUCAUGUGGUGGAUUUGGCCUUCUUCUGCAUCUCCAGUGCAUGCUUCAUUUCCUGGGUGGUGGUGGCCUCUUUGUGCUGCAGCAGGUCAGCGUGGCCUUUAGUGACACCCCAAGACUCAGGUGUGGACAGUGACGCACACUUGGGGCGACCAGAGGCGGGCAAGA